rnacentral:rRNA from 1 species
CCUACGGGAGACAGCAGUGAGGAAUAUUGGUCAAUGGACGAGAGUCUGAACCAGCCAAGUAGCGUGAAGGAUGACUGCCCUAUGGGUUGUAAACUUCUUUUAUAAAGGAAUAAAACGAGGCACGUGUGCCUUUUUGCAUGUACUUUAUGAAUAAGGAUCGGCUAACUCCGUGCCAGCUGCCGCGGUAAUACGGAGGAUCCGAGCGUUAUCCGGAUUUAUUGGGUUUAAAGGGAGCGUAGAUGGGUUGUUAAGUCAGUUGUGAAAGUUUGCGGCUCAACCGUAAAAUUGCAAUUGAUACUGGCAGUCGUGAGUACAGUUGAGGUAGGCGGAAUUCGUGGUGUAGCGGUGAAAUGCUUAGAUAUCACGAAGAACCCCGAUUGCGAAGGCAGCUUACUAAACUGUGACUGACAUUGAUGCUCGAAAGUGUAGGUAUCAAACAGGAUUAGAUACCCGAGUAGUC